rnacentral:rRNA from 1 species
GACGAACGCUGGCGGCGUGCUUAACACAUGCAAGUCGAACGGAAAUGCCCUGCUUUUGUGGGGUGCUCGAGUGGCGAACGGGUGAGUAACACGUGAGUAACCUGCCCUUGACUUUGGGGUAACUUCAGGAAACUGGGGCUAAUACCGGAUAUGAUCUCCUGCUGCAUGGUGUGGGUUGGAAAGUUUCGGCGGUUGGGGCUGGACUCGCGGCUUAUCAGCUUGUUGUUGGGGUAGUGGCUUACCAAGGCUUUGACGGGUAGCCGGCCCGAGAGGGUGACCGGCGACAAUGGGACUGCGAGACGGACCAGACUCGUAUGGGAGGCAGCAGGGGGGAAUAUUGCACAAUGGGCGGAAGCCUGAUGCAGAAACGCCGCGUGCGGGAUGACGGCCUUCGGGUUGUAAACAGCUUUCGCCUGUGACGACGCGUGAGUGACGGUAAUGGGUCAAGAAGCACCGGCUAACUACGUG